ensembl:snoRNA U3 Small nucleolar RNA U3
AAGAUUAUACUUUCAGGGAUCAUUUCUAUAGUUUGUUACUAGCAUUUCUGUGUGCGUUUGGGAUGCAAAUGUGUUUAAAAUUUUAUUUCUUUUAGCCCUUUAACAGAUGUUUUAUGGCUAAAAGAAAUAUGUGAAGAGA